AUUAUUAAAAAAAUAAUGGCACAAAUCUACCUAAAUUAAUGUUAUGACACAAUUAUCAUUAUUAGCCAUAUUUAUCAACCAUGGUUGUAUUGGUCAUCACAUCACUAUCGAUCACGCUACUGUCAAUUAAUAUUGAUGCUAACUUCUAAAGUAUGAUUCAUCAGAUAAAUAAUUUUUACAACACAUGCAAAUUAUUGUGUGCUAAUGGUAUUUAGUUUAUGUUGUUUAUACAGCAUUCGGUGGGGUGGAGUUCAAUGCCUAACAAAAAGGGUCAAAAGCAAAAAAGGAAUGUAUGAACAAAAAGGGAAAAGAUUGCUCUUUUUCGCAGUUUGGUCCGCGGACAGGGUCUACUACAAGAAUCUUUUUUUAUUGGGGCGAAAGCUUCAGUAACAACAAAAGCAGCCUAUCUGGAAUGGCCUACUCCUUACUCAAGCAAAGCUACACGCAACCGCAUAGAGGAAGUUAAGUCAAUCCCUCUAUUUUCAUCUUGAAAGAUUCGGAAAAAUAGAACAUGUUCUACCCUUUCCUUCGAUCGCUUUCAUUUUUUGCCCGAUCAGGCUUCAUCUUCUUAUCGGCAUCCCAACACGAGACAUAAACAAAGACAGGGCUAAUCAGACUUGCCAGAAGAGCCGAUGUACAAAUAAAGAAUCUGUUUUGACAUGAAAUGGAUAUAUCCAUAUAUCUCUGACUCAUAUUUACGAGAUAAUAAAAUAUGGCAAAAGCUAUACCGAAAA